rnacentral:rRNA from 1 species
AACGUUAGCGGCGGGCCUAACACAUGCAAGUCGAACGAGAAUGUAGGCUUCGGUCUACUAGUAAAGUGGCGGACGGGUGCGUAACACGUGGGUAAUCUACCUUCCGGCGGGGGACAACAGUCCGAAAGGAUUGCUAAUACCGCGUCCGUCAGCGGCGCCUACGGGCGCUGUUGGGAAAGAUGGCCUCUCCUUGGAAGCUGUCACCGGGAGAUGAGCCCGCGUCCCAUCAGCUAGUUGGUGAGGUAAUGGCUCACCAAGGCUAAGACGGGUAGCUGGUCUGAGAGGAUGAUCAGCCACACUGGGACUGCGACACGGCCCAGACUCCUACGGGAGGCAGCAGUGGGGAAUCUUGCGCUAAUGCGGGAAACCGUGACGCAGCGACGCCGCGUGGGGGAAGAAGGCCUUCGGGUUGUAAACCUCUUUCAGGAGGGACGAAGCUACUCGGGUGAAUAGCCCAGAGGGUGACGGUACCUCCAGAAGAAGCCCCGGCUAACUACGUGCCAGCCGCCGCUGUAAUAC